CAGUAGUCACGAGUUUGAUCCUGGCUCAGAACGAACGCUGGCGGCAUGCCUAACNCAUGCAAGUCGAACGAGACCUUCGGGUCUAGUGGCGCACGGGUGCGUAACGCGUGGGAAUCUGCCCUUGGUUCGGAAUAACAGCGAGAAAUUGCUGCUAAUACCGGAUAAUGACGUAAGUCCAAAGAUUUAUCGCCAAGGGAUGAGCCCGCGUAGGAUUAGCUAGUUGGUGUGGUAAAGGCGCACCAAGGCGACGAUCCUUAGCUGGUCUGAGAGGAUGAUCAGCCACACUGGGACUGAGACACGGCCCAGACUCCUACGGGAGGCAGCAGUGGGGAAUAUUGGACAAUGGGCGAAAGCCUGAUCCAGCAAUGCCGCGUGAGUGAUGAAGGCCUUAGGGUUGUAAAGCUCUUUUACCCGGGAUGAUAAUGACAGUACCGGGAGAAUAAGCUCCGGCUAACUCCGUG
rnacentral:rRNA from 1 species